CUUGAGGCUCAGGGGAGACCUUAUUGCUCUCUACAACUACCCAAAAGGUUGUAGUGAAGUGGAGGUCAGUUUCUUCUCCCAAGCCCUGGGUUAACAUUUGGACUCUGUGAUGUUAAAGGUCUUUUCCAACACAAAUGAUUCUAUGACUAUGUAAACCUGUGUUCAAGACAUGUCAUAGAAAUCAAUGGAAUCACUGAAUUGUGCGUCCUAGACUUCAAGACUCUGCCUGGAGGAAUCUCUCUAACGUCUACGAGACUAUUGCUUUGCAACUUACCCUUUAAAAGUUCACAGGACCAGUCCGUUCUCUUGAGUCCUUUAAACAUUAGGUCAGUAAAAAUAUCUGAAAUAAGAUCUGAAUGCUGAAGAAAUGCCAAAGAACACCUUAGUAUGUCCAAAUGCUUCAGAAUAUAUUUGCAUUCAUUUUGCAACAUAUUUAACUAGUGCAGAAAGAUACUGUCAGACUUUUCUACCACUGAAUGCUUCAAAGUUUACUCUCUCUGUUCCUGAUACACAUUGAGUCAUCAACCAAGCAAGGAUGCUGAAAAUGUAAAGUAAAAUUGACAAAAAGAACAAAAGUUAUUUAAAAA